ACGAACGCUGGCGGCAGGCUUAACACAUGCAAGUCGAGCGCCCCGCAAGGGGAGCGGCAGACGGGUGAGUAACACGUGGGAACGUACCCUUUUCUACGGAAUAACCCAGGGAAACUUGGACUAAUACCGUAUGUGCCCUUCGGGGGAAAGAUUUAUCGGAAAAGGAUCGGCCCGCGUUGGAUUAGCUAGUUGGUGGGGUAAAGGCCUACCAAGGCGACGAUCCAUAGCUGGUCUGAGAGGAUGAUCAGCCACAUUGGGACUGAGACACGGCCCAAACUCCUACGGGAGGCAGCAGUGGGGAAUAUUGGACAAUGGGCGCAAGCCUGAUCCAGCCAUGCCGCGUGAGUGAUGAAGGCCUUAGGGUUGUAAAGCUCUUUCACCGGAGAAGAUAAUGACGGUAUCCGGGGAAGAAGCCCCGGCUAACUUCGU
rnacentral:rRNA from 1 species